rnacentral:rRNA from 1 species
AGUGAACGCUGGCGGUAGGCCUAACACAUGCAAGUCGAACGGCAGCACAGUAAGAGCUUGCUCUUACGGGUGGCGAGUGGCGGACGGGUGAGGAAUACAUCGGAAUCUACUUUUUCGGGGGGGAUAACGUAGGGAAACUUACGCUAAUACCGCAUACGACCUACGGGUGAAAGCAGGGGAUCUUCGGACCUUGCGCGAUUGAAUGAGCCGAUGUCGGAUUAGCUAGUUGGCGGGGUAAAGGCCCACCAAGGCGACGAUCCGUAGCUGGUCUGAGAGGAUGAUCAGCCACCCUGGAACUGGGCCACGGUCCAUACUCCUACGGGAGGCAGCAGUGGGCAAUGUUGGACAAUGGGCGCAAGCCUGAUCCAGCCAUCCCGCGUGGGUGAAGAAGGCCUUCGGGUUGUAAAGCCCUUUUGUUGGGAAAGAAAAGCAGCAGGUUAAUACCCCGCUGUUCUGACGGUACCCAAAGAAUAAGCACCGGCUAACUUCGUG